AAACAAAAUAAAAGGAAGCAGAAAAAUACCUUUUUCUGUUUUUUGAAUUUAGACAGUUUCUUUCUUUUUUUUUUCUCUUUUUCCCCCUAGUAUUUGAUUGAUUGAUAU
rnacentral:ribozyme from 1 species